CGCUUUUUCUGGUACUUGAUAGCACGACAUUGCUCACAUUGCUUCCAGUGUACUUCAGCUUGGUAAUGGCGAUUAGUG
rnacentral:misc_RNA from 1 species